GGGGGUGGCUGGGAGACUAUUGAGAAGAAGAAGAAACUAGGGCAAACAUCUGGGAGGGGACAAUGGGCACCAUGGGGUUCAUCCUCAAAUGCUCCACCUACUACAGCACGUCAAGCUUGGAAUGGCAAUGGAUCUUCACGUCCUUCAGGAAACAAUUGGGCUCAACCUUCUGAUCGUAGGUCUCCUGCCAGAGGUAAUCCCAGGGCAUCAUCACAAACAAAGUCUACAGAGCCAGAAUUGCAAGCACAAAACCCAGCUGUGACUCCACCCCUGGCAAAUGGUUGGCAGUGGGCAUCCAGGCCUCGCGGCCCAUCUGGUCCUGAAAGCAGCAAGGAUGAUGUUGCUUCAUCUGGUUUAGACCCUGAGGCGAAUAAUCCUGAAGUUGAGGAUUCAUCAGAUGAUGAUAAUGAUGAUGAUAUGAGCGAUGACUAUGAUUCUGAUGCAUCUGAGAAAAGUUUUGAGACACGAAAAAUGAAUAAGUGGUUCAAGAGUUUUUUUGAAGUCAUCAAUACCUUAAGUGUCGAUCAGAUACAUGAGCACACUAGGCAAUGGCAUUGUCCGGCAUGCAAAAAUGGACCAGGAGCAAUUGACUGGUUCAAAGGCCUGCAAUCUUUGGUGACACAUGCUAGAACAAAGGGUUCUAAGAGGGUUAAGCUCCACAGGGAAUUGGCUGCAUUGCUUGAAGAGGAGAUGUCUCGCAGGGGAUCUUCUGUGGUACCAUCUGGUGAGCAAUUUGGGAAAUGGAAAGGAUUGCGAGAAAGCACUGACCGGGAGAUAGUAUGGCCACCAAUGGUCAUCGUGAUGAACACCCUACUUGAAAAAGAUGAAGAUGAUAAGUGGUUAGGUAUGGGCAACCAAGAACUUCUCGAGUAUUUCAGUGAUUAUGCUGCGACCAAAGCACGCCAUGCAUAUGGUCCAGGUGGGCACCGUGGCAUGAGUGUGCUAAUAUUUGAAAGCUCUGCUGUGGGCUAUAUGGAGGCAGAACGUCUUCAUAAGCAUUUUAUUGAUCAAAGAACAGACAGGGACACUUGGCAGAAUCGCAGGGUUCCUUUCUUACCUGGUGGGAAGAGACAAUUAUACGGUUUCCUAGCCAGAAAGGAAGACAUGGAGACUUUCAAUAGACACUGCCAAGGGAAAAGCCGCCUGAAAUACGAGAUGAGAUCUCAUAAUGAGAUGGUAGUGGCCCAGAUGAAGCAAAUGAGCGAAGAUAAUCAACAACUCAAUUAUCUGAAGAACAAGGUGGUUAAGACAGAGCAGCGCUCUAAAGUUGUAGAAGAAACCCUGGGUGUUAUUACGCAGAAACUUCGAGAGACUAUGGAAGAGAAUAUAUUCGUCAGGAGUAAAGCUAAAGAGAAGCACUCUGAGUAUGAGGAAGAGAUGAAAUCCCAGGAAAAAUUCUUCCAUGAUCAGAUAGAGAACAUUCACAAGGCCACAGAAGACAAGGAAAGCGAGUUUGAGAGGUUGCUGCAGGAGGAGCGUGCAAAGGCUAGACAGUGUGAUGUGGAUUCUGGGACUACUGAAAAUCGCAGGCUAAGGAAGGAACAGGUACAGCGGUUCAUAGAGUGCCAGGUUAAGGACGUGCAGGAGUUUGAGGCUGAAAGGGACGAAUUGAUAAAAGCGCACGAGGAGAAGAAGGUGCAGCUGAAGAAAGAGUACAUGGCAAAGGAGGUGGAGCUCGAGAAGGAGUUUGAUGCCGCUCUCACCGGUUUGAUGGAGAAACAUAGGCCAGGCACCUUCCAGGCCUCCAGCUCCAGGCCGUGA
rnacentral:rRNA from 1 species